rnacentral:rRNA from 1 species
GAAGUUCGGCAGUGGAUACGGGCAGACUAGAGUGCAGUAGGGAAGACUGGAAUUCCUGGUGUAACGGUGAAAUGCACAAAUAUCAGGAGGAACACCGAUGGCGAAGGCAGGACUCUGGGCUGAAACUGACGCUGAGGAGCGAAAGCAUGGGGAGCGAACAGGAUUAGAUACCCUGGUAGUCCAUGCCGUAAACGUUGGGCACUAGGUGUGGGGGACAUUCCACGUUUUCCGCCCCCCACCUAACGCAUUAAGUGCCCCGCCUGGGGAGUACGGCCGCAAGGCUAAAACUCAAAGGAAUUG